rnacentral:rRNA from 1 species
AUUGAACGCUAGCGGGAUGCUUUACACAUGCAAGUCGAACGGCAGCGCGGACUUCGGUCUGGCGGCGAGUGGCGAACGGGUGAGUAAUGUAUCGGAACGUGCCCAGUAGCGGGGGAUAACUACGCGAAAGCGUAGCUAAUACCGCAUACGCCCUACGGGGGAAAGCAGGGGAUCGUAAGACCUUGCACUAUUGGAGCGGCCGAUAUCGGAUUAGCUAGUUGGUGAGGUAACGGCUCACCAAGGCGACGAUCCGUAGCUGGUUUGAGAGGACGACCAGCCACACUGGGACUGAGACACGGCCCAGACUCCUACGGGAGGCAGCAGUGGGGAAUUUUGGACAAUGGGGGCAACCCUGAUCCAGCCAUCCCGCGUGUGCGAUGAAGGCCUCGGGUUGUAAAGCACUUUUGGCAGGAAAGAAACGUCGCGGGCUAAUACCCCGUGGAACUGACGGUACCUGCAGAAUAAGCACCGGCUAACUACGUG